rnacentral:rRNA from 1 species
GACGAACGCUGGCGGCGUGCUUAACACAUGCAAGUCGAACGGAAAGGCCCUGCUUUUGUGGGGUGCUCGAGUGGCGAACGGGUGAGUAACACGUGAGUAACCUGCCCUUGACUUUGGGAUAACUUCAGGAAACUGGGGCUAAUACCGGAUCGGAGCUCCUGCUGCAUGGUGGGGGUUGGAAAGUUUCGGCGGUUGGGGAUGGACUCGCGGCUUAUCAGCUUGUUGGUGGGGUAGUGGCUUACCAAGGCUUUGACGGGUAGCCGGCCUGAGAGGGUGACCGGCCACAUUGGGACUGAGAUACGGCCCAGACUCCUACGGGAGGCAGCAGUGGGGAAUAUUGCACAAUGGGCGGAAGCCUGAUGCAGCAACACCGCGUGCGGGAUGACGGCCUUCGGGUUGUAAACCGCUUUCGCCUGUGACGAAGCGUGAGUGACGGUAAUGGGUAAAGAAGCACCGGCUAACUACGUG